rnacentral:rRNA from 1 species
UGCAGUCGAGCGGCAGCGCGGGGGCAACCCUGGCGGCGAGCGGCGAACGGGUGAGUAACACAUCGGAACGUACCCUGUCGUGGGGGAUAACUAAUCGAAAGGUUAGCUAAUACCGCAUACGACCUGAGGGUGAAAGCGGGGGAUCGCAAGACCUUGCGCGAUAGGAGCGGCCGAUGUCGGAUUAGCUAGUUGGUGAGGUAAAGGCUCACCAAGGCGACGAUCCGUAGCGGGUCUGAGAGGACGGCCCGCCACACUGGAACUGAGACACGGUCCAGACUCCUACGGGAGGCAGCAGUGGGGAAUUUUGGACAAUGGGCGCAAGCCUGAUCCAGCCAUUCCGCGUGAGUGAAGAAGGCCUUCGGGUUGUAAAGCUCUUUCGGCAGGAACGAAACGGUGUGGGUUAAUACCCUGCAUCACUGACGGUACCUGAAGAAGAAGCACCGGCUAACUACGUGCCAGCAGCCGCGGUAAUACGUAGGGUGCGAGCGUUAAUCGGAAUUACUGGGCGUAAAGCGUGCGCAGGCGGUUGUGUAAGACAGAUGUGAAAUCCCCGGGCUCAACCUGGGAACUGCGUUUGUGACUGCACGACUUGAGUGUGGCAGAGGGGGGUGGAAUUCCACGUGUAGCAGUGAAAUGCGUAGAGAUGUGGAGGAACACCGAUGGCGAAGGCAGCCCCCUGGGUCAACACUGACGCUCAUGCACGAAAGCGUGGGUAGCAAACAGGAUUAGAUACCCUGGUAGUCCACGCCCUAAACGAUGCGAACUAGGUGUUGGGGAAGGAGACUUCCUUAGUACCGCAGCUAACGCGUGA